UACGGAGGGUGCAAGCGUUAUCCGGAUUCACUGGGUUUAAAGGGUGCGUAGGUGGGGAGGUAAGUCAGCGGUGAAAUCCCCGAGCUUAACUUGGGAACUGCCAUUGAUACUAUCUCUCUUGAAUACCUUGGAGGUAAGCGGAAUAUGUCAUGUAGCGGUGAAAUGCUUAGAUAUGACAUAGAACACCAAUUGCGAAGGCAGCUUACUACACGGUCAUUGACGCUGAGGCACGAAAGCGUGGGGAGCGAACAGG
rnacentral:rRNA from 1 species